rnacentral:rRNA from 1 species
UACGAAGGUGGCAAGCGUUGUUCGGAUUUACUGGGCGUACAGGGAGCGUAGGCGGUUGGAUAAGCCCUCCGUGAAAUCUCCAGGCUUAACCUGGAAAGUGCAGAGGGGACUGUUCAGCUAGAGGAUGGGAGAGGAGCGCGGAAUUCCCGGUGUAGCGGUGAAAUGCGUAGAGAUCGGGAGGAAGGCCGGUGGCGAAGGCGGCCAUCUGGACGGUAACUGACGCUGAGACGCGAAAGCGUGGGGAGCAAACAGG